rnacentral:lncRNA from 1 species
AAAAAAUGUGAAUCUAAAAUCUAUCCAGCAAAAUAAAUAUUAAAAUCAUUUAAAAAUAUAAAAACAAGAUUAACGCAUAUGAUCUUGUUAAGAUAUAUUUUAGAAUUCUAAUAAUUACAACAAUAUGGAACUGAUAAGUGUUCAAGGAAUUUAUAUAAUUCAGUGGGGUCUAAUGCAGUGUCCAAAAGCUGAAGGAAGUUCAUACAAAUUGACAAUGUGAGAAGCAUAUUUUAAACCCAUUAGAAAAGGAUGAACUAUUUGGUAUAUCAAACUAAGACAAUUGGCCAAAAAUUGAUAGAUAGCUAGAUAAUAGAUGGAUGGAUAGAUAGUUAUAGAUAUAGUUGAAUCCACAGAUUACUCUUAAAUAAGUUCCAGAUUAAUUUAAAUGUGAAAAAUAAGAAUAUAUAAAUACUAAAAGAAAACAUAAAAGUUUAAAAAUAAGUAUUGGUGGAGUUCCCGUUGUGGCACAACGAAACGAAUCUGACUAGGAACCAUGAGGUUGCAGGUUAGAUCCCUGGCCUUGCUCAGUGGGUUGAGGAUCCAGCGUUGCCAUGAGCUGUGGUGUAGGUCGCAGAUGUGGCUCGGAUCUGGCAUUGCUGUGGCUCUGGCGAAGGCCGGCAGCUAUAGCUCCGAUUAGACCUCUAGCCUGGAACCUCCAUAUGCCACAGGUGCGGCCCUAAAAAGACGAAAGAGACAAAAAAAAAUUAAAAAAAUAAAAAAUAAAAAUAACUAUUGGACUAAGAAUGAACUUCCUAAGGUUGUAUUAAUUUCUGCUACAUAGCAGAGUGAUUCAGUUAUACAUCUACACCUAUCCAUUCUUUUUCUGAUUAUUUUCCCAUAGAGGUUAUCACAGAAUAUUGAGUAGAUUUCCCUGUGCUAUAUAGCAGGUCCCUGUCAAUCAACCAUCCAUUCCAUAUACAAUGCUAUGCAUUUGCCAAUCCCAGACUCCCAAUCUAUCACUCCCCCCAUCUUUCCUCUUUGGUAACCAUAAGUUUGUUUUCUAAGUUUGCGAGUGUGUUUCUGUUUUGUUACUAAGUUCAUUUGUAUCAGCUUUUUAGAUUCCACAUAUAAAUGAUAUUAUAUAUCUGUCUUUGUCUAACUUACUUCACUUAGUAUGAUAAACUCUAGGUCCAUCCAUGUUGCUGCAAAUGGCAUCAUUCAUUCUUAUUUAUGCCUGAGUAAUGUUCCAUUGUGCAAACGUACCACAUCUUCUGUAUCUGUAUCUCUGUCGAUGGACACUUAGGUUGCUUCCAUGUCGUGGCUAUUAUAAAUACCACUGCAGUGAACAUUGGGGUAUGUAUCUUUUCAAAUUAUGUUUUUCUCUCUAUAGGUACACACAGUAAUGGGAUUGCUAGAUCUAUAUUUAGUUUUUUGAGGAACCUCCCUACUGUUCUCCAUUGUGAUUGUACCAAUUUACAUUCCCACCAAAGUGUAAGAGGGUUCCCUUUUCUCCAUACCUUCUUCAGCAUUUACACAUUCUUUUACUCAUAUUACCUCCCAGCAUGUUCCAUCACAUGUGAUUGGAUAUAGUUCCCUGAUACAGUAGGACCUCAUUGCUUAUCCACUCCAAAUCCACAUAUAAAUAUUGUGAAAAUGCAAACAUUCAGUCCAUAUUAUCAGCCAUUUUCUGUUUUUCUACAUCCCACUCUCAGCAUGUUGGCUUUUCCAUUUUCAGCUUAAGGCUUCAUGGUCAUAAGAUGGUUGCCUUAGCUCUAACCAUCACAUUCAUCACAUAAUCAUAUUAAAUGCAGGAAAAAUAAUGAGAUGGGGGAAUGCAUGUUUCCACCUUAUGUCUUUCCCUCUUUUCAUCUGCAAAGAAAAUAUCUCUUAGAGGCCCCCAGUCUCAGCAAACUUGCCUUUAUUGUCUUGCCAAAACUGUCAUGUCCACCUUUAAAUCUAUCCUUGGCAAAGAGGCAUGGGGUUCCUGCUGUUUGCUUUUUCCCAUUUGACAGUUAUGAGUCAUCCCCACCCACCCUCACCCCUGGGGUUGGAAGAGAAUCCACUCUAACUGUAAGAAAGGGAUAACCCUUUAUCCCACCCACAACUAUACAAAAUUAGGGUUCUGUUCCAGUGAAAAAAAAAGGUGAAGGCUGUUAGCACAAGUAGUAUCUGCCAUUAAAACAAUCUUAUUGUUAAUAUAGUAAAACAAAACAGAGCAAAACCUGUGUUGAGAGGGUUUUUUUUUUUUUUGGAGAAAUAGGCUAGUCCACCUUUCAAGUUAACCGUAUUCUUUUAUCAUUUGUAAUUUGAGAGAUACAAAAUCAUAGAAAUUUAUAAUUAGAAGGGAACUUAAAAAUUACCCAGCCUAAUUCACUUAAUUAAUGAGGUAAGUGGGGUCCAGCAGGUUAUAAUCUACUCCACAUCACUUGGAUUUAUAAUUAAGGAGCCAGCCCAGCCUCCUGAUUUCCUCUUCAACACAUGGCCUCCCCUGUUUUUGCCUGUAGCGUGCUUGAAUCUGGAUAAUAAUAGCAAUGUUAUGAUGGAUGUCUCUUCAUUUAUUGUGAUUUCCCAGAUUUUUUGCUCUUGGAUUUAGAUUUUUUAUUUACCAUUUCAUAGUUUUGUUUAGUCUUCAUUUAAAUACAAUGAAAUGAAAACCCGUCACAUUUUACCACAUCAACAAAUAAACAGAAGCAAAUUAUGAAGCACUUUGGAACUUCCUUUCUUCUUUGUUACCUGUCCCACCAUGAAAAUCUCUUCAUUGAACCUCUAUUCCAACUCUUUGCUUGAGAUAUUUCCUCACUUUCAGAUUCUUAAUAGUUGACUCCAUGAUUUUCUCUAACACAAAAUCUCCAAAGACAUGCUUGACCUCAGCAUAUAUUUUUAAGUUUGUAUUAAGUUCAAACUUGCAGGAAGACUGAAAGUAGCAGAAGGAAUUUCGAUGAAUGCUAUACCCGUAUGACCAAAAUAUCAACAUCUUAACACCUUUGCUCUAUGUAUGUAUUUGUGUGUAUAUAUAAACUUUUCUGAGCCUUUUGAGAGUAAGUUAUAGACAUGGUACCCCUUUAUGCCAAAAUAUUCCAGUACAUAUUUCCUAAAACAAGGGCAUUUUCUUACAUAAACACACACACAAAAUGAUUGAAAUCAGAAAAAUAAGAUUGGUACAAUAUCAUUAUCUAACCUUCAGAGCUUUUAAAAAUUUCAACAGUUAUUCCACUAAUGUUCUUCGUAACAAAAGAAAUGUUUUCUACCCUAGAUCACUGCAGAAUCACAUGUUAUAUUUGGUUGUCACGUUUCUUUAAUCUUCUUUUAUCCAAAGCAGUUUCCUAUGGCUUACAGUUUUGAAGCAUAUAGGUCCUUUGAGAGAGAGAAUAUCUCUCAAUCUGGUUUGCUCAUGUUACUCGUGAUUGUUCAAGGCAAGCAUUCUCAGUGCUUCAGGAAGCAAAUGCUGUCAACUUUCUCCUUUAUGGAUGAUGUUAAUAUUGAUCAUUUAAUUAAGAAGGUGUCAUGCCAGAUUUUUCCACUCUAAAGUUGCUUUCUUUUUUCUUCGUAAUUAAUAAAUACCUUAUGGGGAGACAAGUUGAGACUAUGUAAUUAUUCUGUUUCUCACCUGUUACACCCACUACUUUUGCCUGAAGCAUUAUUAUGAUAGUGGUUGUCAAAUGAUUUUCUAACUCCAUUAUUCCUAGUAAAUUCUUUGGUUGACAUUCAACCACAAGAAACAGUUUCCCUUCUCUUCCAUUUAUUUAUUUAUUUACUUGCUAUUUAUAUCACUAUGGAUGCAUGGGUUUUGGUUUGUACAAUUUAUAUUAUUAUUUUUUAUUUUGACACUCAAUUUUCCCAGAUUUUGCCAGUUGAAACCCCUUCAAGCUGACUUCUGUGUCCUGUCUAUGAUCAGUCUUUGAUCAUUGCCCUCUCAACCUCCAGCUCUGAAAACAGACAUUUUUCAAAAUUCCUUGUUCUUUUCAUCAGAGAACAGUAUUUAGAAAACUAUCCGGUCACUAGGUUUGUUCAUUGUUACUUGGGUAUUAUUGCUCAUCGAACAAUUUUGAAGUACACUGUACCAAUGGAAGAAAACCAACUAGAGUUCUUAGAAUAGUAUGCAUGCUUGAAUUAAAAUGCACAAGUGAGGAGAAGUUCUCAUCGUGGCUCAGUGGUUAACAAACCUGACUAGCAUCCGUGAGGACAUGAGUUUGAUCCCUGGCCUUCCUCGGUAGAUUAAGGAUCCAGCGUUGCCGUGAGCUGUGGUGUAGAUCACAGACAGGGCUCAGAUCCUGCAUUGCUUUGGCUCUGGCAUAGGCCAGCAGCUACAGCUCCUAUUCUACCCCUAGCCUGGGAACCUCCAUAUGCUGCGGGUG